UUCUAAUGAUCCUAUCCAAUAAAUAUCUGAAUAACCUUACGAUGAGACGACGAGAAGUUUUGUAAACAAGACAACUUGGUCCCAUAAUAUAAGGUUCCCUUUAUAUACCUCAAGACUCAUUUUGCUUCUUUAAAAUGAGUUUCUUACCUCAACACUCAUUUUGCUUCUUUAAAAUGAGUUUCUUUAAGAAAAUUCAUGUAUCUUGACAGUACACUUACAUCACAUAAAACAUUUGGUCUUGUAAUUGUAAAAUAUAAUAAGCAUCCAAUUAAACUUCCAUCAUUUUGGUUUUCCUCAUCAUCCUUGCAUAGCUUCUCCUUUGGACACAUAGAGUGCUUGUGAUUUUAUUGUUCUCUUUGUCGAAUUUCUUUAACAUCUCUUUUGCAUACUUCAUUUAUAGAUAUCACCAUUUCUUUUUCUUUUUGUUUAACUUUCAUACCAAUGAAAUAAGACAUUUCUCAAAAAUCUCACAUCUCAAAGACUUGCUUCAUUUCAUCCUAGAAUUGUGGAACAUGUUCAACACUAGUGCCGAUAACCAAAAGAUCAUCAACAUACAAAGACAUCACAAUACAAUUAGAUUGAUCACCAAAGUGGAUUCACCUUUAACAAAGCCUAAUUUAAUUAAGUACUCAUCAGUUAUGCUAUACCAAGCUGUAGGGACUUGUUUAAAACCCGUACAAGGCCAAAGGAAACUAUGAACUUCUUUGUUUUAUCAUUCUAGCUCCAAUUCUCAUUGUCCAUGAAGUGCGUAUCCAUACUUAUCCAUGUGUGAGAUUGGAAAACUUUGUAACUUUUAGAAGUUGAACUAUAUAACUCACAAAGAUACCAAGUUGAGCUAUGUUGUCUAACAUGUCUCUUUUAACCUGUGGCACAUAAGCAAAACACAACCAUCCAAAUAUUUUUAAUUUUUUUCAGAGGGGUUUAUAGCCAAACCAAGGAUCAACAGAAGUCUUCCUAUCUACUACUUUUAUGGAAAUUUUAUUAAGAAAAAAAUACAAUAAUGUUUGCAUCUUUUAUAAAUAAUCUUUAGACAACCCUUUCUCAUAAAGCAUACAUUUAACCAUUUUUAUUGGCAUGUUUUUUCUUUCAUUAACCUGAUUUUGUUGGUGGGUGUAUGGAGUUGCAUGUUGAUGAUCGAUGUCUUCCUCCUAACAUGGUAAAAUGUUUUGAAGUGUACUAUAGACCUUCUAUAAAAGAAAGGUAACAUUGACUCUCUUUAAAAUAAGUCAUCAUUGUAACUUAUUUUUUCUCUCCAUGUCACUUGUUUAAACAUACUGACAUGCCUUAUAACUUGGCGACUUAACAUCUAAGUGAGGUAAACCUUAAACUUACUUCUUUCAUUUCAUAUUCAUUACCACAAAUGUCCUAAUAUAUUUGACAUGUCUUUUUAAAUCAUAGGAUGUUUGUUUUAAUCUUUAUUAAUUGUUUAAUUAUUUAUUUAUUUACAAAAAUAUUUUAUUAUUUUAAUAAGGAAAGUCCUAAUUUUUUUUAAUUAUUAUACUCGCUAGAGUCUUACAACUAUAUGCUUACACACCCUCACCCUCAAAUUAUUUGAAGGAUCAAAGUCUCGUAGUUCGUCUUAAAAAAUAUUGGUUGGUUAGUUGCUUUCAUCCUUUGAAAGUUCUCACGCAUCGGGGGCGAAGAAGUAAUUGAUUUUGAAAACUUCCUCAAUGCAAUAAGGCAGAGAACUUGUAGUUUGAGAACUCCUCUAUCUCCUUUUGUUCUCCUCUGGUGUGAGAUUCUUUCUUCCUUUUUUUAAUGGAUGUUGAAGAUUUAUGGUUUAGUUGUUGUUCUUUAAUGUGAAGAGAAACAACAUUGGUAAUGGAUUUGUAAACUGUGGAUGGAUGUUGAAAUUUGAUAGUGAUGAAAUGUUUUGUUAUUGUUUUUCA